rnacentral:rRNA from 1 species
UACGGAGGGAGCUAGCGUUGUUCGGAAUUACUGGGCGUAAAGCGCACGUAGGCGGCAAUCCAAGUCAGGGGUGAAAUCCCGGGGCUCAACCCCGGAACUGCCCUUGAAACUGGAUCGCUAGAAUCUUGGAGAGGCGAGAGGAAUUCCGAGUGUAGAGGUGAAAUUCGUAGAUAUUCGGAAGAACACCAGUGGCGAAGGCGACUCGCUGGACAGGUAUUGACGCUGAGGUGCGAAAGCGUGGGGAGCAAACAGG